CAACCUCUCGCUGACCUCCACCGCGAGCCCCGGUGCCUGAAGCUCGAGCCGCCCCGACGCUCCGCCGCCUCCACGAGCAGCACCGCCGCUUCGCCGAAGCUCGGGCCGCCCCGUCGCCGUCCAGCAGCUCGCACUGCUCCUAACCUUGCUGAGCCACCAUACGCCCAUCCGAUGGCCCGACGUCCCUUGUAGCUCGCACCUCCGCGCCGGUCCGUGACCAGUCGCCGCUGCAGACCCGGUGGUCCGCUCGACGCCAGCAGGCCUCGAACCCGUCGCUGCUCUGCCUUUGCUCGACCUCCCAGCGAUCCGACGCCCCUGUCCGCGAAGCCGCCGCCAAUUCACCUCCGCGCGCUCGCCCACCGCCGAUUCAUCCUCGCGGGAGUUCCUCUUGCCGGCCCGACGACUCUCUCCCCUUGGAGAUUUACGGCUGUGUGUGGAAAGAAAAAAAAGAAAAAGAGAAAAAAAAAUCAGAUUAGGUAGUUUCUCUUUUAUUUUUUUAUUAUUAUUUCUUUAAUAUUCUGUUUUAGUGGAAUUGUUCCUUAAUGUAUUAUUGAUAUCCCAAUAUGAAAUAGUCCUUCAAGCUAGGGAUUGACAGUCCGAUUUUCGCGCCCG
rnacentral:lncRNA from 1 species